rnacentral:misc_RNA from 1 species
GAUGAAGAACGUAGCAAAAUGCGAUAAGUAAUGUGAAUUGCAGAAUUCAGUGAAUCAUCGAAUCUUUGAACGCACAUUGCGCCCGCUGGUAUUCCGGCGGGCAUGCCUGUUCGAGCGUCAUUUCAACCCUCAAGCCCCCGGGUUUGGUGUUGGGGAUCGGCUCUGCCCUUCUGGGCGGUGCCGCCCCCGAAAUACAUUGGCGGUCUCGCUGCAGCCUCCAUUGCGUAGUAGCUAACACCUCGCAACUGGAACGCGGCGCGGCCAUGCCGUAAAAACCCAACUUCUGAAUGUUGACCACGGAUCAGGUAGGAAUACCCGCUGAACUUAAGCAUAUCAAUAAGCGGAGGA